CUGUCCAGCAGCUGCAUUGUACACACUGUGUGUGGCACCGGAACGCACAGCGCAUGCAAUGUGGAGGCUGGGCAC
rnacentral:pre_miRNA from 1 species